rnacentral:rRNA from 1 species
UACAGAGGGUGCAAGCGUUAAUCGGAUUUACUGGGCGUAAAGCGUGCGUAGGUGGUCUGUUAAGUCAGGCGUGAAAUCCUCGGGCUCAACCCGAGAACUGCGUUUGAUACUGAUAGACUCGAGUGUGGUAGAGGAUAGUGGAAUUCCCGGUGUAGCGGUGAAAUGCGUAGAUAUCGGGAGGAACAUCAGUGGCGAAGGCGGCUAUCUGGACCAACACUGACACUGAGGUACGAAAGCGUGGGUAGCAAACAGG